rnacentral:misc_RNA from 1 species
UCUGGUUUCCACAUGCAAACAGUUGCUGGACCAUAGGUUUCCGUAAGACCAUAUCCAUGAGUAACAUUAAAACCGAGCUCUUUCAUUUUAAGUAGAACUUGAGGAGGAGGUGGGGCACCACCUGUCAUAACGUUAACUGUCCUUGAGAGUGGUCUUUGGACACUUCGUGGCGCAUUUAUUAUCAUGUUCAAAACCGUAGGUGCACCAGCCAUGUUAGUCACUUGGUGUUGAAUUAUGCUGUCAAAAAUCCCUUUUUCGGUUACAUUUCUCAGGCAAAUAUUUGUACCACCCUGUGCUGCCACAGUCCAAGUAAGACACCAUCCAUUGCAAUGAAACAUGGG